rnacentral:rRNA from 1 species
GGAUAACCAACCCUCUGGUUCGGGACAACACUGGGAAACUGGUGCUAAUACCGGAUGUGUCGUGGGAGUCAUCAGGCUCCCACGAGAAAGACACGCAAGGGUCUCCAGAGGACGGGUCCGCGUCCCAUCAGCUUGUUGGUGAGGUAAUGGCUCACCAAGGCGAAGACGGGUAGCUGGUCUGAGAGGAUGAUCAGCCACACUGGAACUGAGACACGGUCCAG